UAACACUAACUGGAGGACCGAACCGACUAAUGUUGAAAAAUUAGCGGAUGACCUGUGGCUGGGGGUGAAAGGCCAAUCAAACCGGGAGAUAGCUGGUUCUCCCCGAAAGCUAUUUAGGUAGCGCCUCGUGAAUUCAUCUCCGGGGGUAGAGCACUGUUUCGGCUAGGGGGCCAUCCCGGCUUACCAACCCGAUGCAAACUGCGAAUACCGGAGAAUGUUAUCACGGGAGACACACGGCGGGUGCUAACGUCCGUCGUGAAGAGGGAAACAACCCAGACCGCCAGCUAAGGUCCCAAAGUCAUGGUUAAGUGGGAAACGAUGUGGGAAGGCCCAGACAGCCAGGAUGUUGGCUUAGAAGCAGCCAUCAUUUAAAGAAAGCGUAAUAGCUCACUGGUCGAGUCGGCCUGCGCGGAAGAUGUAACGGGGCUAAACCAUGCACCGAAGCUGCGGCAGCGACACUCAGGUGUUGUUGGGUAGGGGAGCGUUCUGUAAGCCUGUGAAGGUGUGUCGUGAGGCAUGCUGGAGGUAUCAGAAGUGCGAAUGCUGACAUAAGUAACGAUAAAGCGGGUGAAAAGCCCGCUCGCCGGAAGACCAAGGGUUCCUGUCCAACGUUAAUCGGGGCAGGGUGAGUCGACCCCUAAGGCGAGGCCGAAAGGCGUAGUCGAUGGGAAACGGGUUAAUAUUCCCGUACUUGGUGUUACUGCGAAGGGGGGACGGAGAAGGCUAUGUUGGCCGGGCGACGGUU
rnacentral:rRNA from 1 species